GACGAACGCUGGCGGCGUGCCUAAUACAUGCAAGUAGAACGCUGAAGGAGGAGCUUGCUUCUCCGGAUGAGUUGCGAACGGGUGAGUAACGCGUAGGUAACCUGCCUGGUAGCGGGGGAUAACUAUUGGAAACGAUAGCUAAUACCGCAUAACAGUAGAUAUUGCAUGAUAUCUGCUUGAAAGGUGCAAUUGCAUCACUACCAGAUGGACCUGCGUUGUAUUAGCUAGUUGGUGAGGUAACGGCUCACCAAGGCGACGAUACAUAGCCGACCUGAGAGGGUGAUCGGCCACACUGGGACUGAGACACGGCCCAGACUCCUACGGGAGGCAGCAGUAGGGAAUCUUCGGCAAUGGACGGAAGUCUGACCGAGCAACGCCGCGUGAGUGAAGAAGGUUUUCGGAUCGUAAAGCUCUGUUGUAAGAGAAGAAUGAGUGUGAGAGUGGAAAGUUCACACUGUGACGGUAUCUUACCAGAAAGGGACGGCUAACUACGUG
rnacentral:rRNA from 1 species